CCAAUAUUUGCAGCUUCCUUCUCAAGAUCUUUACAAGAACAUAACUUAGACAUUUUGAAACUUCCUGCUGAACUGCUAUCAUGUGGAGAAAUCAAAUAAGAAUUUUAAAAAUCUUUUUUUUUCCUCUCUCUCAAAUGAGAUAGAUACAGGGAAUUAUUCUUGUGGAAAUACAGGCAGACCAGGAAUCUUCCACCAAAGACUGGGAAGCCUGGAAGCCCAAAGACCCCAAAGACCUCCACAGAUUUCCAAAGGUUCUGAAGUCAGAAGCUCUGAGCCUAGGGCUUCCACGGUGGGAGGUGGCAGUUUUUCAGAUGGAUAUCUGUUAUGAAAGACCAGCAGGAGUAUGAAAAAGACAUGAAAAAGAGGAGGUAGAAAAAGUGGCAAAAAAUCCAAGAGGAAUAGGAACUUGC
rnacentral:lncRNA from 1 species